AAAAUCCUGGAGUGUUCGAUAGUCUUACAUAUUUUGAUCCUACACUAUUCUAAAGGGAUUCCGGUAUACAUACCUAUGUCAGGCCUCCUUGUCCAAUAGGACAUGCCAGUGGAAGAUUGCAGUAUGUAUCAGGUCACCCACCUGGCUUUCGCUAGGCGUCAGAAUCGUAAGAAACGGCAUUUUGGGAUUUUU
rnacentral:other from 1 species